UAGAUUGAAGCCCGCUGGUUUGGGUUUUUAGUUGUUAACUAAGUAUUUAUGGGAUCAAGGCCCGUCGAUCUAG
rnacentral:tRNA from 1 species